rnacentral:rRNA from 1 species
CAGUAGCCGCGGUAAUACGAGGGGGGCAAGCGUUGUUCGGAAUUAUUGGGCGUAAAGGGCGCGUAGGCGGUUUGGCAAGUUUGGUGUGAAAUCUUCGGGCUCAACUCGAAGUCUGCACCGAAAACUGCCGGGCUUGAGUAUGGGAGAGGUGAGUGGAAUUUCCGGUGUAGCGGUGGAAUGCGUAGAUAUCGGAAGGAACACCUGUGGCGAAAGCGGCUCACUGGACCAUUACUGACGCUGAGGCGCGAAAGCUAGGGGAGCAAACAGGAUUAGAUACCCCUGUAGUCCCUGUCUCUUAUAC